UGUGCUAUCAGUAGCCUAGAUAUUGCAUGAAUUCUACAACUUUACUUCCCCUUUUGGAAACAAUUUUCCAUAAAUAUUAACUAGAAACAAAGGUCAAUUACUUGUAGCUGAUGUCAAUUUUUUUUUCAAAAAUUGCAAAUGUGAGUAGAAAGACAUAUAAAACAAGCAUUUUAAUGUGAGAAGAGGUUAUGGAAAGAUGUUUGUGAAAACUUAAAAGACAUCCGAUCUCAACUGGCCCACCGGACCACCAGUUUUAUUAGGUCAGCUGGUCCGCCAACUUUUAUACUGGCCUCAGGCCAGCGGACCACCAUUAAUUUUGACCCCUGGAAAGGGUUGACCUACAUCUAAUCUUCGUUAUUGUUAAUAAUCAGCAUAAAGUUUGUUUAGGUUCUUCUACCUUAAUGAUGGAAAAAACUUCGAACUCUUCCGUUGCCAUUUUCAGACAUGCACAAGCGCAAGCAUGUGGCCUGCCUAUGGUGUACAUUGGUGCGUGUACAGUGUGCAUGUACACGUAUGCUUGUACGACAUGUAUUUUUUCAUCCACAUUGAAGUCAAGUCUUUUGCUUGUUUUCAGCCAAAUUGCCGAAGGAAACAUGCAUGCAGGAAUACUGGGAUUCAUUUUAUAUCAUUAUUUAUUUUAGUUUGCUGAUCACAUCAUAAUCUGUAUCUACUGCAUUGCAAACAGUAAGGCACAAAAACGUGUGUCAAGUACUGACCUGCAUUAUGACCUGCAUACCAUUUUGGGAAAAAAAAUUAUGGAGUGAUGAGAAAUCUGUUCCAAGGUGUUUGUCAUAUUCCUAGACAUACACAUACGAAAAUGAAUAGCUUUUGCAUUUGCAACUACCUACCCAUCGCUGGCCGGCUGUGAUGGAUGCGUGGUUCGUGUAUUAAAGACGUUCUCGACUCGUAUAGCUAUGGCUCUUUCUGUUCAAUAUUGGUUGAAUUACGUCAAAGACUGAUCAAAAUUGGCCGAUAAAAGUGAAAACACAGUAGUCUGCGGCAGGGUUCUUCGCUUUGUCUACGACAUUGAUCUGCAAAUGGUCAGAGGCAAUGUACAUGUACAGGCGUCGAUCAAGGACACAAGUUACAAAGUUGAGAUCAAGUUAGGGGAUGACUUUCAAGUGAAAGCAUUGUGUGAGUGUCCCUUGAGAAAUUACAAGUGUCACCAUGUAGCAGCUGAUCUAUUGUUUGGCAGGUAAGCAAGACUGAUGUGAAGUGCAGCUGGCUGAAAAAUCCAAAAUCUGGUCUGCCGAAGAAGACAACGACCAUUGCUGAGUUGUAUCCUUACACCAAGCAAGAUUAUUGGUAAGAAAAGGACACAAAAGGAUGAAAAGCUCCUUCCCCAAACCCUUAUCUUCUAGAGGAUCUCACCCCUAGCAAGGACUACGCACAUGCUGAGUGUUCCACAACUUGGCUGAAGAAGGCACUCAUUUUGAAACCUUAAAAAAUUGGCUGAGGCAGCCUCUCUGACUGUGGGGCAGAGGGGAAACAGCCUGUGGGCGGCCUCACGGAAGUACAAGU